AUAGUGUGGCACUUCUUUAAAUUAUUUGUCUAACUUGUUUUCCGUAAAUACACGAAUUCCGAUAUCGUAGAUCGAUAAUAUCUAUCGAACGAGGGACCAUGAAAAGGUCACAGUGACGAACGUGAGUAGAUGUGCUCGGUACGUGAUGCGUAAUGUUAACAACGUCAAUUUAUAGUAAAGUUUUGCCGUGUAAAUGGCGUUUUAAUAGAACAUUAUUGCCUAUCGGUUAAAUGUGAGAUUGUAUUUUAAUACAUAAGAUGUUAUUUGGCAGGAUUAAGUAUUCUAUAUCUGGAAGGACAAGCAUGCAGAAUGUCAGGAGCGACAUUAGUAGUCAGGGUCAGUGAUGGUCAUCGACGAACCCAAUGAAGAUGAAUAAAAGUGUAUUGUAAUGGCUGUCGACGUUGCAGUUAAGCAGUCUUACCACUGACUUGUGUGCUUUUCAUACUCCGAUCAAAAUAGGAUCAAUAGGGAACACUCACAGUCCCGCAUCCGGUAAAGUUUCCCCAGUGACAUACCGAACUAAAGAGAAAUGGAGGACAUCGAGACACACCAGAACCUCAAACGUGGACUUCGAGACACCGAUUUUUAUUAUUCCAAUAUGAUGAUUGUUUCGAAGUUGAAAUGCAUCCCUGAACCAUGAUGGGACCUGUACCGUACCCCUCUACACAAGAUGAAUUUUUCCCUGGGUUUCCACGAAGUUAAUCUUUUCGUAGAAUACUUCUAAACACAUGCGCACGUUUUAUAAAAAAGUGGAUUUAUUGAGCAAAAUUUUAGUUAAGUAGCUCUCGAUUUUCUUAUUUGCUAUAAGUUUAUAACAGCACCUACACAUCCCAUUAGCGAAAUUAUUAUUAUUAACUUAAUUCUUUUGUUUGUUUAAGAGGCUAGUUAAAUUCAUUAAAUAAAUAUGUAUACGUAUAUUCCAAAUAGUAAUUCCACUUAAGCGAUAUAUUCUAAAUUUUUGUUUUUUGUAUACUUACCUACCUAUUACAUCUGUUUUGGUGAAAUCAAUUUCAAUUAUCUUUUUUCUCGCUGAGAAAAUCUUUACUUUAUUUUUUUUUUUAAGAUUAUCAACUAUUUUAAUUCUUUUGAAAAAUCAAUGAAUCCACUUUUUUAAACUGGAAUAUUUCAAAAAUUAUUUAUCAGUAUGAAUUGUAUUUUAUAUAUUAUGUUUGUGUAGGGUUACAUAGGAUUAUCUGUUUAAUUAUGUUAGGAUAAAAUUACUAUUUUAGUUUUAAAUAUUUAUCAUAUUUAUGUAUAUUAGGUAUAAUAAUAAUAAUACUAAAUGGGGACUAAUUGUGGGGAGAGAGUGAGAUUGUGAAUGUAGGAGUGUGAGAAUAUUAAUAUUACAGGGGUGAAGGAGUGCAGAAGUUUGGGGUGAGUGUAAGAGUGAGUUAAGUAUGAAAUUUAAUAAAAAUGUAUGAAAGGAUAACGACUAGGUUGAAAAAGAAUUACAUUGUACUAUGUGAGUGGAUGAAAACGAGAAUGAGAAUGGGGAUGAAUACGAAUGGAAAGGAAACUCAGGGCAUUCAUGUGAUAACAGUAUGAGGGUAUGAAUAAAAAAAAAGAGUUGCGUUAUGUUAGAGCGAUGCAUGCUUGUGAAUGAGAGAAUAGAGUGAAUAUAUAAAUGUGAGGGUAUAAAUGUGCCACUAAUAAGAGGAGUGUAAAUUUACGAAUAAUAGAGGGUCUAAAUGAAAGUAGGGUGUAUGCAUGAUUGCAUUAAUGUAUGAAUUUAAGUGUAAUAGGGUUGUGUACGUGUUAUUAAAUGAAAAGGGUAAAAGCGUGAAUGUAUCAAUGAGAGGAGGGUGUAUGCUUGCGAGUAUUAAUGCAUGAAAGAGGAGGGUAUGCUUGUGAAUGAAUUAAUGGAGUGAACGCGUAAGUCUAUAAAUGUGUUAGUAACAGUAAGGGGUAAAUGUGAGGAGGGUGUCUGCAUGGCGGUGUAUAUGAAUGAAAUAAAAGGUUAAAUGUAUGGUGGUCGAAGGGUUGCAUACAUGAGAAUGAGAGGGAAUGUAUGAAGGUUUGAAUGAGAAAAAGUGGCACUGAUUGGGUGUAAAUACAUGAAUGUGUGAGGGUGUAAACGUCUGAAUGAUAGAGGGUGUGCUUGAAUGAGUGGGUGUAUGUGUGAAUGAAAGAGGGGUAUAUGUGUGAGGAUGUGUGUGUGUGCCCCCAAGGGGGAAGGCGGGGGCGCGUGCAUGCGUCCCCCGUCUCCAUGGAGGCGGGGGCACAUGUGUGCGUCUCCCUCCCCAGGGAGGGGGAGGCGGGCGUGCGCCCCCCGUUCCCAGGGAGAGGGAGAGUAAAUAAAACAUACGAAAAAGAUUUUACUUGUUUUAAUUUAAAAAAGACAAAAUGAAUAAAACAUACGAAAAAGAU